GACGAACGCUGGCGGCGUGCCUAAUACAUGCAAGUCGUGCGGACCUUUUAAAAGCUUGCUUUUAAAAGGUUAGCGGCGGACGGGUGAGUAACACGUGGGCAACCUGCCUGUAAGACUGGGAUAACGCCGGGAAACCGGGGCUAAUACCAGAUAGUUUUUUCCUCCGCAUGGAGGAAAAAGGAAAGGCGGCUUCGGCUGCCACUUACAGAUGGGCCCGCGGCGCAUUAGCUAGUUGGCGGGGUAACGGCCCACCAAGGCAACGAUGCGUAGCCGACCUGAGAGGGUGAUCGGCCACAUUGGGACUGAGACACGGCCCAAACUCCUACGGGAGGCAGCAGUAGGGAAUCUUCCGCAAUGGACGAAAGUCUGACGGAGCAACGCCGCGUGAGUGAAGAAGGCCUUCGGGUCGUAAAACUCUGUUGCCGGGGAAGAACAAGUGCCGUUCGAACAGGGCGGCGCCUUGACGGUACCCGGCCAGAAAGCCACGGCUAACUACGUGCCAGCAGCCGCGGUAAUACGUAGGUGGCAAGCGUUGUCCGGAAUUAUUGGGCGUAAAGCGCGCGCAGGCGGCUUCUUAAGUCUGAUGUGAAAUCUUGCGGCUCAACCGCAAGCGGUCAUUGGAAACUGGGAGGCUUGAGUGCAGAAGAGGAGAGUGGAAUUCCACGUGUAGCGGUGAAAUGCGUAGAGAUGUGGAGGAACACCAGUGGCGAAGGCGGCUCUCUGGUCUGUAACUGACGCUGAGGCGCGAAAGCGUGGGGAGCAAACAGGAUUAGAUACCCUGGUAGUCCACGCCGUAAACGAUGAGUGCUAAGUGUUAGAGGGUUUCCGCCCUUUAGUGCUGCAGCUAACGCAUUAAGCACUCCGCCUGGGGAGUACGGCCGCAAGGCUGAAACUCAAAGGAAUUGACGGGGGCCCGCACAAGCGGUGGAGCAUGUGGUUUAAUUCGAAGCAACGCGAAGAACCUUACCAGGUCUUGACAUCCUCUGACCUCCCUGGAGACAGGGCCUUCCCCUUCGGGGGACAGAGUGACAGGUGGUGCAUGGUUGUCGUCAGCUCGUGUCGUGAGAUGUUGGGUUAAGUCCCGCAACGAGCGCAACCCUUGACCUUAGUUGCCAGCAUUGAGUUGGGCACUCUAAGGUGACUGCCGGUGAC
rnacentral:rRNA from 1 species